GAUGAACGCUGGCGGCGUGCCUAAUACAAGCAAGUCGAGCGAACAGACGAGAGUGCUUGCACUCUCUGACGUUAGCGGCGGACGGGUGAGGAACACGUGGGUAACCUACCUAUAAGACUGGGAUAACUUCGGGAAACCGGAGCUAAUACCGGAUAAUAUUUAGCUUCGUAUGAAGCAAUAGUGAAAGACGGUUCUGCUGUCACUUAUAGAUGGACCCGCGGUGUAUUAGCUAGUUGGUGAGGUAACGGCUCACCAAGGCAACGAUGCAUAGCCGACCUGAGAGGGUGAUCGGCCACACUGGGACUGAGACACGGCCCAGACUCCUACGGGAGGCAGCAGUAGGGAAUCUUCCGCAAUGGACGAAAGUCUGACGGAGCAAUGCCGCGUGAGUGAAGAAGGUUUUCGGAUCGUAAAACUCUGUUGUAAGGGAAGAACAAGUACGUUAGUAACUGAACGUACCUUGACGGUACCUUACCAGAAAGCCACGGCUAACUACGUG
rnacentral:rRNA from 1 species